UUCUUCACCCCUAGGCUGGUCCCCUCCGUGUGUCUCACACAUGAGGAACUCUGGUUGAUCACUAUCCAUCUUUUCUGUUGAGGACAUCUAAGGUUUAACAAAGGAUGUAUUUUCUUUACUCUUCAGUCUGGAUUUCUCUCUUUCAGUGUGAGAAGAUUAAAUCUGAAAGACUGUAUUGUUGAAGUCCAUGCUUAUAUCACUGUUAAGCUUGCAAAUGGGAAAAUGAGAGAGGCUAAUUUUGCUCGCAUAUGAGCUACAUGUAUUUUCUAUGUCUAUAUACAUGAAACUUUACUAAGAAGAUACCCCUGGGAUGAUUUUCUUCAAUUUUGAGUUCUAGACAUAUGCAGAAUUAUACAUCCAUCUCUA